rnacentral:misc_RNA from 1 species
AAGUCGUAACAAGGUCUCCGUUGGUGAACCAGCGGAGGGAUCAUUACCGGGAACGCCGCAAGGCAGAACCCACUCUCCAACCCUUUGUGAACCUAUACCUUACCGUUGCCUCGGCGCGCGCGCCGGGCGGAGCACCCCUCCCCCGGAGCCCCCCGCGCCGGCGGCCCCUCUGAAGAAACUGCAUCUCCCAGAGACAGACCUCACGAGAAAACACGUCCGACACGGUCGGACACAACCAAACACAACCUUCAACAGUGGAUCUCUUGGUUCCG